rfam:Saprospira grandis str. Lewin, complete genome.
UAGGAAGCAAAUAAGGGCACAGGGGGAAUGCCUAGGCUCUCAGAGAUGACGAAGGACGCGAUAAGCUGCGAAAAGCUACGACGAGCUGCAAAUAGGCUAUGACUCGUAGAUGUCCGAAUGGGGGAACCCUCCAGAUUGAAGAUCUGGAACCCGAGAGGGGAACAACGCAGGGAACUGAAACAUCUAAGUACCUGUAGGAAAAGAAACUAAGAAAAGGAUUCCGUAAGUAGUGGCGAGCGAACACGGAGGAGCCCAGCUCUAAUAAAGUAGUCAAGUUGAAUGGUUUGGAAAGACCUGCCGAAGAAGGUGAUAGCCCUGUAGACGGAGACGAAAAAGAGCGAUGAGUAGCGCGGGACCGGAGGAAUCUUGCGUGAAUAUGGCAGCACCAUCUGCCAAGGCUAAAUACUACUGAGAGACCGAUAGUGAACAAGUACCGUGAGGGAAAGGUGAAAAGAACUGCUAGGAGCAGAGUGAAAAGAACCUGAAACCCUGUGUCUACAAGCGGUGGGAGCGCAAGCGACCACGUGCCUUUUGCAUAAUGAGCCUACGAGUUAGUCUUCUAUGGCAAGGAUAAGGACUGGAGGUCCGCAUCCGGAGCGAAAGCGAGUCUGAAUAGGGCGCCGAGUCAUAGGAGCUAGACGCGAAACCGAGUGAUCUACCCAUGAGCAGGUUGAAGUUGCGGUAACACGCAAUGGAGGACCGAACCCAGUAAACGUGAAAAGUUUUUGGAUGACUUGUGGGUAGGGGUGAAAGGCCAAUCAAACUCGGAAAUAGCUCGUACUCCCCGAAAUGCAUUGAGGUGCAGCGUUCGGUUAGAGUGUCUAAGAGGUAGAGCUACCAAUAGGGCUAGGGGGAGUCAAAUCCUACCAACCCCUGAUGAACUCCGAAUGCUUAGACAUGUUACCGAGCAGUGAGGCUGGGGGUGCUAAGGUCACCAGCCGAGAGGGGAACAACCCAGACCAUCAGCUAAGGUCCCAAAAUAAACGUUAAGUUGACUGAACGAGGUGGAAUUGCUAUGACAGCUAGGAUGUUGGCUUGGAAGCAGCCAUUCAUUUAAAGAGUGCGUAACAGCUCACUAGUCGAGUGAUUCUGCGCGGAAAAUACUCGGGCAUAAAACGUUUUACCGAAGCUAUGGAUUCGAAAGAGUGGUAGGGGAGCAUUGUAGUUGCGCUGAAGGUGUACUGUGAGGUAUGCUGGAGCGACUAGAAAAGCAAAUGUAGGCAUGAGUAACGAUAAAAUAGGUGCAAGACCUAUUCGCCGUAAGACCCAGGUUUCCGAUUCUAUGUUAGACAGAGUCGGGUUAGUCGGACCCUAAGGAGUAGCCGAGAGGCGAAUCCGAUGGAAAAUCAGUUAAUAUUCUGAUACUUGUAUAUUGGGCGAAGCGGGGACGGAGUUGACGGUCAUCUGCUCACUGACGGAAUAGUGGGCUAAAGUGUGAAGAGAGGGCAGUAGUGAAGUACGCUGUCUAUUUGAAGCACGAUAGUACUUGGAUCUCAUUAGAGAGAAGAGCUAAGAUGUUAGUCAGCUUCCAAGAAAAGCCGCUAAGCAUUAACUAAUAUACAAACCGUACCGCAAACCGACACAGGUGGUCGAGGAGAGUAUCCUCAGGCGCUCGAGUGAUUCACGGCUAAGGAACUAGGCAAAUUGGACGCGUAACUUCGGGAGAAGCGUCGCUCUGAGUAAUCAGAGCCGCAGUGAAAAGGCCCAGGCGACUGUUUAGCAAAAACACAGGACUCUGCGAAUCCGAAAGGAGAAGUAUAGGGUCUGACACCUGCCCGGUGCCGGAAGGUUAAGGAAGGGGGUUAGCGCAAGCGAAGCUCUUGACUGAAGCCCCGGUAAACGGCGGCCGUAACUAUAACGGUCCUAAGGUAGCGAAAUUCCUUGUCGGGUAAGUUCCGACCUGCACGAAUGGUGUAACGAUCUGGGCACUGUCUCGGCCGUGAGCUCGGUGAAAUUGAAGUAUCGGUGAAGAUGCCGAUUACCCACAACGGGACGAAAAGACCCCGUGAACCUUUACUACAACUUAACAUUGUCUUUGAGUAAUUGAUGUGUAGGAUAGGUGGGAGACUAUGAAGCUGAUGCGCUAGUGUUGGUGGAGUCGUCCUUGAAAUACCACCCUUUAAUUGCUUAGAGACUAACCCGGUGGGGGACAUUGUUAGGCGGGUAGUUUGACUGGGGUGGUCGCCUCCUAAAAGGUAACGGAGGCUCCCAAAGGUUCCCUCAGCAUGGUUGGUAAUCAUGCGAAGAGCGUAAUAAGUACAAGGGAGCUUGACUGUGAGACAGACAAGUCGAACAGGGACGAAAGUCGGGUUAAGUGAUCCGGCGGUUCUGUAUGGAAGGGCCGUCGCUCAAAGGAUAAAAGGUACUCCGGGGAUAACAGGCUGAUCUCCCCCAAGAGCUCAUAUCGACGGGGAGGUUUGGCACCUCGAUGUCGGCUCGUCACAUCCUGGGGCUGGAGAAGGUCCCAAGGGUUGGGCUGUUCGCCCAUUAAAGUGGCACGCGAGCUGGGUUCAGAACGUCGCAAGACAGUUCGGUCUCUAUCUGUUGUGGGCGCUCGAAUAUUGAAAGGAUUUGACUCUAGUACGAGAGGACCGAGUUGAACAGAUCUCUAGUGUACCAGUUGUGCCGCCAGGUGCAUGCUGGGUAGCUAUAUCUGGAAAGGAUAAGCGCUGAAAGCAUCUAAGCGCGAAGCCAACCUUAAGAUGAGUAUUCGUUGAAGAGACCUGGAAGAUGACCAGGUAGAUAGGCUAUAGGUGGAAGCACAGUGAUGUGUUAGGGAGCCAAGUAGUACUAAUUUCUCGAAAGCUUCCUUUU